AGGCUGUCAUGUUUUGCCUCUUCCCACCAAGUGAUAUCUGUAUCCAAGACACCAAUUCUACCUCUCUUACCCCAACCCUUUUUUUUUUCUAGUAAAGUCCUGAAGCUACUUUGAAUAGUUUCCAGCAAAGACUUGGGUGAAGAGUUCUGGCCACCACACAGACAUUCAACAGCUGAAUGGCUUCAGCAAAUGAAUGAUCAGUUUCAGGUUCAACUGGAGGUUGGUUUGCAGAGAAGUGGAAUGGAUAAAGCUGUAGAGUGUGGGAACAUCUGAGAGUAAAUUCAUCUCUUCCUUGGUCUCAAACCUUGCCAUGAAUGCGUUGAGUCAUGAGUGUCUUGGAUUUUAAUGAAGUUAAGAUGUUGUCCUCUAUGACAUCAGCGUCACUGCAGGCUACAGGGAAAUGGUCAAGCCCAACCAAGGAUUGAAUGCUUCGACUCUCCACCUGCCUUUCCCCCAGGGUUGAUCUCUUCCAGACCUUGAAUGCUUUCCUCUCGAGUGAUGGUGUCCCCAGAGCAA
rnacentral:lncRNA from 1 species